UACAGAGGUCUCAAGCGUUGUUCGGAUUCAUUGGGCGUAAAGGGUGCGCAGGUGGCGCGCUAAGUCAGGUGUGAAAUUUCGGAGCUUAACUCCGAAACUGCAUUUGAUACUGGCGUGCUUGAGGACUGGAGAGGAGACUGGAAUUCAUGGUGUAGCAGUGAAAUGCGUAGAGAUCAUGAGGAAGACCAGUGGCGAAGGCGGGUCUCUGGGCAGUAACUGACGCUGAGGAGCGAAAGCGUGGGGAGCGAACAGG
rnacentral:rRNA from 1 species